AUUGAACGCUGGCGGCAGGCCUAACACAUGCAAGUCGAGCGGAUGAAGGGGGCUUUCUCCUGUAUUCCGCGGCCGACGGAUGAGUAAUGCCUAGGAAUCUGCCUUGUCGUUGGGGCUAACGUCCGGACACGGGCCCUAAUCCCGCAUCCGUCCUUAGUGCGAACGUGGUGGUUCUUCAGACCUCACUCUAUCAGAUGAGCCUAGGUCGUAUUAGCUAGUUGGUGGGGUAAAGGCCUACCAAGGCGACGAUCCGUACCUGCUCUGAGAGGAUGAUCAGUCACACUGGAACUGAGACACGGUCCAGACUCCUACGGGAGGCAGCAGUAGGGAAUAUUGGACAAUGGGCGAAAGCCUGAUCCAGCCAUGCCGCGUGAGUGAAGAAGGUCUUCGGAUUGUAAAGCACUGUAAGUAGGGAGGAAGAGAAGUAAGAGAAUAUCUGGAUGUCUUGACGGUACCAACAGAAUAAGCAACGGCUAACUUCGUG
rnacentral:rRNA from 1 species